GGUGUGGGUGUUAUAACAACACUCAGGAUGAGUUCUGCCCUCUUGACAAAUCUUCAAGUGUAUAAUACGGUACUAAUUACAGGCAGGAUGAUGUACAGAUCUCCAGAACUCACUUGCCUGACUGGAACUCUGCACACCGAACAGCGACUCCCUGUGCCCACCCCCCCCCCCCCCCAGCCCCUGGCAACCACCGUUCUAUUCUAGCUUCUAUGAGGUGGAGUAUUCUAGAUGCCUCAAGUAAGUGGAAUCAUGCAACAUCUGUAUGGAGGGUCUAGUAGGGAACAUAACAUGUAGUUCGUACCAUGUCUGUGUACUUUAAAUACCUCGUGACAGAUGAAGGCCAACAAGGGACUACAGCUCCUUCUAGAAGCCCUGCUGUUUCUCUACACACUUGGACCUUAUCUGAUACCUAUUCCUUCUAGAUGUGACACAGACCAGGAAGAAACAGGCCCCCGCCAGCAUCGACAGGAACAGAAAGAGUCCCACAGCAAUCACGAUGAUUUGCUGGAGUUUUGUGGCGGCUAAAAAGAUGACGCGGAAGUAAACAAGAGGCCCGUCCCACCCGUGGUACAAACGUCGGUAAUUUCUCACCUGCCAACCGCUUAGAGACAGGUCGUUUCCUGGUAGAAUCGGGCCGACGCUGCCCCUCCCCCGCCCAGCCUCACAUGCUUAGAUGACUAGCUAGGAAAGGCAAUCCUAAAAUAAAGCAGCGUUAGCCUUC